rnacentral:rRNA from 1 species
AGUGAACGCUGGCGGUAGGCCUAACACAUGCAAGUCGAACGGCAGCACAGUAAGAGCUUGCUCUUACGGGUGGCGAGUGGCGGACGGGUGAGGAAUACAUCGGAAUCUACUUUUUCGUGGGGGAUAACGUAGGGAAACUUACGCUAAUACAGCAUACGACCUACGGGUGAAAGGAGGGGAACUUCGGACCUUGCGCGAUUGAAUGAGCCGAUGUCGGAUUAGCUAGUUGGCGGGGUAAAGGCCCACCAAGGCGACGAUCCGUAGCUGGUCUGAGAGGAUGAUCAGCCACACUGGAACUGAGACACGGUCCAGACUCCUACGGGAGGCAGCAGUGGGGAAUAUUGGACAAUGGGCGCAAGCCUGAUCCAGCCAUACCGCGUGGGUGAAGAAGGCCUUCGGGUUGUAAAGCCCUUUUGUUGGGAAAGAAAAGCAGCAGGUUAAUACCCCGCUGUUCUGACGGUACCCAAAGAAUAAGCACCGGCUAACUUCGUG